CACGUCGGUGCGCCUCUACGAUGUGCCGGCCAACUCCAUGCGCCUCAAGUACCAGCACACCGGCGCCGUCCUGGACUGCGCCUUCUAUGAUCCAACACAUGCUUGGAGUGGGGGAUUAGACCAUCAAUUGAAAAUGCAUGAUUUGAACACUGAUCAAGAAAAUCUCGUUGGAACCCAUGAUGCCCCUAUCAGAUGUGUUGAAUACUGCCCUGAAGUGAAUGUGAUGGUGACAGGGAGUUGGGACC